rnacentral:rRNA from 1 species
CCCGAAAAAAGAAGAGCUAAUAUAAUAAAAAUUUAUCGUGUUAAAGAUAUUUUUAAUGUUAUAUUAGUAAUGAAACGUUAAGCGGUUCUUUAUAUCUGGAAAGGAGGAAAAGCUUCUUUUUCUAGAAAUAAUUUUACUGAGUUUAWMWUWAUUAAUUUAUUUUUUUAAAAUUAGGCUUAGAAGUAGUCAUAUUAGUAAAGUGUUUUAACUAAUAAAGAAAUUAGAUAAUAUUUAUAUACUUGAAACCUGUAUAAUUAGUUCAUAAAUUAAUAAAGUUACUUUUUUUGUAUUAUAAUGAUAUUAUUAGUAGAUAGAUUAAUGUAUAAAAGUAUAAAUAUAUUAAAAUGAUUAAAUUCUUAUAAAUAAAUAAGAGUUAAAUAUAUAGUUAAGGAACUCGGCAAAUAAUAUUUUACUUUUGCCUGUUUAUCAAAAACAUGUCUGUGUGAAGGUGUAUAGAGUCUGGCCUGCCCACUGACUUAAUGUUGUUUAAAGGGCCGCGGUAUUUUGACCGUGCGAAGGUAGCAUAAUCAUUAGUCUUUUAAUUGAAGGCUUGUAUGAAUGGUCGGACAAAAAGUAAGCUGUCUCCAACUAUAAAAAUUGAAUUUGACUUUUAAGUGAAAAGGCUUAAAUAAUACAAAGUGACGAUAAGACCCUAUAAAGCUUUAAAGUAAGUAUUUUUUAGUAUAAAUUAUUAGAGAUGUAUAACUUAGUUUAAAAUAAAACUUUUUUGUUGGGGCGACAAAAAUAUAAAUGAAUAACUGUUUUUGUUAAAAUAAAACAAUUAUAAUUGGACUACAGAAUGAUCCUUUUAUAAAGAUUAAAAGAUUAAGUUACUUUAGGGAUAACAGCGUAAUCUUCUUUGAGAGUUCAGAUCGACAAGAAGGGUUGCGACCUCGAUGUUGAAUUAAGGUUCCUCUAUGGUGCAGCAGUUAUAGCAGGAGGUCUGUUCGACCUUUAAAUCCUUACAUGAUUUGAGUUCAGACCGGCGUAAGCCAGGUCGGUUUCUAUCUUUUGUAUGAAAAAGAUUACCUUAGUACGAAAGGAUUAGGUAGU